AUUGAUUUUAUGCUUGCAUAAAUGAUUUUUGGAUUCGGAGCGAGUGGCGAACUGGUGAGUAACACGUGGGUAACCUGCCCCGAAGCGGGGGAUAACAUUUGGAAACAAGUGCUAAUACCGCAUAAUUAGUUGGAACCGCAUGGUUCCAACUUGAAAGAUGGCUCUGCUAUCACUUUGGGAUGGACCCGCGCCGUAUUAGUUAGUUGGUGAGAUAAAAGCCCACCAAGACGAUGAUACGUAGCCGACCUGAGAGGGUAAUCGGCCACAUUGGGACUGAGACACGGCCCAGACUCCUACGGGAGGCAGCAGUAGGGAAUCUUCCACAACGGACGAAAGUCUGAUGGAGCAACGCCGCGUGAGUGAUGAAGGUUUUCGGAUCGUAAAACUCUGUUGUUAAAGAAGAACAAGUGUUAGAGUAACUGUUAACACUUUGACGGUAUUUAACCAGAAAGCCACGGCUAACUACGUGCCAGCAGCCGCGGUAAUACGUAGGUGGCAAGCGUUGUCCGGAUUUAUUGGGCGUAAAGCGAGCGCAGGCGGUUUUGUAAGUCUGCUGUGAAAGCCCUCAGCUCAACUGAGGAAGUGCAGUGGAAACUACAAAACUUGAGUACAGAAGAGGAAAGUGGAACUCCAUGUGUAGCGGUGAAAUGCGUAGAUAUAUGGAAGAACACCAGUGGCGAAGGCGGCUUUCUGGUCUGUUACUGACGCUGAGGCUCGAAAGCAUGGGUAGCGAACAGGAUUAGAUACCCUGGUAGUCCAUGCCGUAAACGAUGAAUACUAGGUGUUGGAGGGUUUCCGCCCUUCAGUGCCGCAGCUAACGCAUUAAGUAUUCCGCCUGGGGAGUACGACCGCAAGGUUGAAACUCAAAGGAAUUGACGGGGACCCGCACAAGUGGUGGAGCAUGUGGUUUAAUUCGAUGCUACGCGAAGAACCUUACCAGCUCUUGACAUCUUCUGCCAACCCAAGAGAUUGGGCGUUCCCUUCGGGGACAGAAUGACAGGUGGUGCAUGGUUGUCGUCAGCUCGUGUCGUGAGAUGUUGGGUUAAGUCCCGCAACGAGCGCAACCCUUAUUAUUAGUUGCCAGCAUUUAGUUGGGCACUCUAGUGAGACUGCCGGUGAUAAA
rnacentral:rRNA from 1 species